CCUACGGGAGGCAGCAGUGAGGAAUAUUGGUCAAUGGACGAGAGUCUGAACCAGCCAAGUAGCGUGAAGGAUGACUGCCCUAUGGGUUGUAAACUUCUUUUAUAUGGGAAUAAAAUGUUCCACGUGUGGGAUUUUGUAUGUACCAUAUGAAUAAGGAUCGGCUAACUCCGUGCCAGCAGCCGCGGUAAUACGGAGGAUCCGAGCGUUAUCCGGAUUUAUUGGGUUUAAAGGGAGCGUAGGUGGAUUGUUAAGUCAGUUGUGAAAGUUUGCGGCUCAACCGUAAAAUUGCAGUUGAAACUGGCAGUCUGGAGUACAGUAGAGGUGGGCGGAAUGCGUAGUGUAGCGGUGAAAUGCUUAGAUAUCACGAAGAACUCCGAUUGCGAAGGCAGCUCACUGGACUGCAACUGACACUGAGGCUCGAAAGUGUGGGUAUCAAACAGGAUUAGAUACCCCAGUAGUC
rnacentral:rRNA from 1 species